GAUCAUGACCUGAGCUGACAGACGCUUAACCAACUGAGCUGCCCAGGUGCCCCUCAGAUGUAAUUUUUAAAAAUCACACUAUUUAAGAUAUCUGAAAAAAGAAUUAUUUUUUUUAAUCUAGGCAUGUGUCUAAGCUAUAGCAUUUCUCUGCUUGGGGAGCAGGGAGAGCUUUACUGGAUGUUAAUGUUCAAGGGGCUCUGACGAACCACGUGGGCACAAUGGAGGUGUCUGUUGAAGACACACUGUCAUACGUUAAGGGCUCUGAGAAGUGUUCUGUACUGAAAUGUGCACAGCUCUCUUCAAUCCAGCGUUUUUCAGACAUUUAACAGUAGAAUCUUUCUUGUCUGAGUGGCCUUGGGAAGGUCGGCCCUAGUGACCUCCGCGGUCUGACAUCCUAGUUUUGCCUGUGCCACUAACUUGCUGUAGACUUUUGGCCAAAUCACCUUUCCUCCUGGAGCUUUGGUUUAAGAUAUUCCACCAUUAAGUGGAAAUGGUGACAUUUCCACUUAAUUUUAGCCCUCCUCUCUCUGUUAACAAAUUUAUUAUUUUUUAAGCAGGUUCGUGGAAGGAGAAUUAUGAAAAUGCACCAAGGCAAAAUAAAAAAUGAUUAAAAUUAUCCCAUAUUGCCACUACGGGCCCUUUUUCAAAGGUAUGAUGAGAGCAAGCAUUUAUGGAGCACAUCUGUGCAAAAGCACUGUGCUAGGGUAGGUCUGUUCUUAUCCUCAUUUCACAGAUGAGCAGACUGAGGGGCAGAGAGGUACUGUCACCUGUCUAAGGCAUGUGGCUUCCAUGGCUCUAACCCAAGUCUUCCUGACUCUGCAGCACAAGUUCUCAGCCACUACCAGACAAGGUCGCCCCAUCGGAAGGGGGUCUUCAUGACCUGCCAAGAUUCCUUUUUCUUCCUGCUUCCUGAGUCCUUCAGGGUUCUCUCAUCUCCCCAGGGGAGCUGUGGACAUUAUCUCUUCCAAAAACAAAGUCUGUGCCUUCACUAUAGAAGGACCUGUGUCCCUCCCCCAAACCCAGUCUACCUUAUCUCUGGAAAAACUAUGACUUGCCCUAGAGAAGGGGGAAAAAUAAACCCCUCCCCACCCCAGCUCCACCCCCAAAAUCACUGGAUUUGGGGUAAAUUCAGCAGGCUGGAGACGGAAGAAUGAUGUGUAAUGAAGUUUCAAAUUGACUAUUGUUUUAUGUGAAUGUCUGAUAAAGAAAACACAAUGGCCGCCAGAUGGGGGCUGGGAGGUGAGAUUUCCCAGGUGGAGAAUUCUAGAAGACAGGCCUGGAGUUCUGGAGCCAGGGUCCUCCAGACAGGCAGGCAACAAGGGUGGAGACACCAGAGAUAAAUGUAGGCAGGGGAGAAGAGCCAGCCAGGGACACCAGCCCAAGCGGUUUGGCUAGGACUGGUCUAGUCAGCAUGGGACAUGGAGGCCGGAUGAGUUAGCAGUGAACUCGGCCACUUCUAUGGCAUCCAAAGGGCUAGAACAACACUGUUCAACGGAAAUACAAUGGAAGCCACGUAUGUCAUUUUAAAUGUUUCAAUAGCCACAUUAAAAAAUGGUACAUCUAUAAAACAGGAGAUUGUUCUCAGAAAUAAUGAGCUUUUCCUUGGUCUCAGCAAUCAGGGGUAUCAAACUCAGUUGCCCUCAGUGAUAUAUGGUAUCUAAGCAUAUUUCACACUUUGCUGUAGGAAACCCGGUGCAGCCAACAAUGUGUUAUGUUCACUAGUAUAACUUCAGUGUGGGGACAUUAAGGAAUGGUGGGGACUGCAGCAAGUUAGAGAAAGCACACCCGGUUGAAAUUGUUUCAGUGGACUUUUGCCUCGAGGCUAUGGGAAAUCAGUGUUGCCAGAGCUUCCCAUUUUUUGAAAGGGGCAGGAAGUUGGGAUUUCUAAAGGUUAGCAGUCAAUUCAAAUUGUAUCAAAAAAAUCCAAACUGGCGGGGCUGGAUCUCAACCUCUGAUCUCCCAUGAAACCCUCCACCAUGUUUUACAGAGAAGGAAACUGAGGUUCAAAGUGGUUAAAUAUUUUCCCAGCUCCUAACAGGGAACUAACUGUCUCUUCCGGUCAUUUCUACUACCUCUCCUAAUAACCAGCGUUGACUUUUUUCACUAUUCUUUUUGAGAAUUUACUAGGUGCCGGGUUCUGUGCUGAGCAUAUGAUACCAUGAAGGAGGUACUGUUUAUGAUGCCAGAUUUAAAGUUUAUUUUGAGGGAGGUGAGGAGGGACAGAAAGAGAAAGAGAAUCCCAAGCAGGCUCCGUGCUGUCAGUGCAGAGCCUGACGCGGGGCUUGCACUCAUGAAACCGCAAGAUCGUGAGCUGAGCUGAAACCGAGAGUCAGACACUUAACUGACUGAGUCAACCAGAUGCCCCAUGACGCCAGACUUAGAGAGGGGAAACCAAGGUUCAGAAAAGUGGAAUAAAUUGCCUGAGAUCACGCUGUGGGGCUUGACCCUGCAUCUGUUUUGAUUACAAGAGUCUAGAUGCUCCCUCUGGCUAUGCCUCUCCCACCCCUACAGCACAGGAAACUCAGAGAGCAAGGAGCCUGGGGGUUUUCACGCGGGGCUCCUCCAAACGGCCUGGAGCGACAGUUCGGCCAGCUUCCUGCACCUCCACACUUACUGUAAGUGCCUCCAUGGUAUCCUUCCUGGGAAUUGGCUUCCGGGUAAGAUUUUGUUUGAAGAGACAAUGCCACUGCCAUUUUAUUUGUUUGUUUAAAUUUGGAAACCCUGGACCUGCCCUGGUCCCUUGGUUUACAGAGGAGGAAACUGAGACCCAGAGAUGGCAAGUGCCUGAGGUCCCUCUGCAAGUCAGGGCCAGAGCAGGGACCAGAAUUGGGGCCUGGAGGCCCAGCCUGGGAAGCUGCCCGCUGGGUAUGCCAGGGCCUCCCUCCAGCUCCUCUGGGCUCUGCCCAGGGAAGGGCCAACUGUUCUCUGUCUCACCACAGACUCCGCCCUUCCUCAUGCCUGUUUGGAUAACUUUUUGACCUGUUCCUUCACAAGCUCUCCCCAAGGCGUGGCUGCCUCUGCUGCUUGUCCCAGGGAAUCCUGGGGCCUUGGCCGUGUGGCAGCUCAGGCUUGGCCGGGCCCUCAGCAGACAGUUGUCAAACAGUGGCUGUCUGAGCAGAGGGAGGCCUGUUUACCCAGGGCAGAACCCAGGCAGAGGCUGCAGCUUCCUCCCCAUCCCGCUGGCCCAUCCAGCCCCUCAGCAUACUAACUCAGCUGUCCCUGUCUGAAUUUGCUCAUUCUACAAAUAUUUAUGGAGCACCUACUGUGUGCCAAGCACUGUUCUACGUGCUGAGGAUUUAACAAGCAACAAGACACCAGAUUCCCUGCUCUCAUGGAACUUACAUUGUAGUGGAGGAGACAGAUGAUAAACAGAUCAAUGAAUGCACAAUUCCAGAGCUGUAGAAGAUAACAGGAUUGAUAGUGAUGGGUGGAGGUGGGGCAGUCUUAGAUUUGGGUGGUUCAGGAAGGCUGCUCUAAGUGGAAAACUUUUCAGCUAAGACCCAGACUAUGAGAAGAAAUCCAUUAUGGGAAGAUCCAGGGAAAGGAUGUUCCAGGCAGAGGGAACAGCAAGUACAAAGGCCCUGGGGCAGGAAUAUGCUUGACCUUAUUGAAGGACAGUUAAAAGGCCACCGUGGCUGAACUAGAGUGAGAAAAAGGGACAAAGACAGGAGAGACCAAAAGAGGGACAGCCAAGAAUCAGACUGCAUGGGGCCUCUUAGGUUAGGAAAAGAACUUGGGAGACAGAAAGGUGCUGAAAGGGGUUCAGCAGGGAUUUUAAACAUGAACCUUAACUCUGCUUUUUCCUUCUGGGGCUUUCUGCCCCAGGGCUCUUGUUUCCACGUACACUUGAAGGUGUUUGAAAUAGUGUCUGAUUAUUCUUUUUUCCAUUUUAAUUUAAUUUUUUUUUCAAAAUUUUAAUCAAAGCUGUAUAGAUGCACAGUUGAAAAAAAUAAAAUACUCUUACCAAGCUAAUAAUCAGUAAUAGUACUUGUCCACCGACUCUUUCCUGAACCUGAUUCCCACCAUCCAGAGGCAGCUAUUUUAGGUAGUUUCCCUCUAUAUUUCUACAUAUCUUGGUUGUACUACUACUUCUCAGUUCUUCAGUCUUGUGUGUAAUGUGUUAACUUGCUAAUAGGAAAGAUCCUAUAGAACUAUUUCCCAAUUUGGAGAUAAGCCUAUAUUCAUCGUUUUAAUAACAACGUGGCUAUUAUUCACAGCUGAUGUCAUCUGUAUAUGAACCAAGAGUUUUUCCUGAACAGUCUCAGUUAAUCUUCACAAUAACCCUGUAAGGCCCACCCUCAUGCAAGAGGAGUGUGAGUCAAAAAGAAAGGGGAAGGCACAGUUCCUGCAUGUAAGCAUCUCAGAAUCUUUCAUGAAACAAUCAGAGAAGUCCCAAAAUACUUUCAGAGAAGAAUGGACUGAGCUGCAGUCAAGUGUCCUCAGUAGAGGUUUGUUGAAAAAGUGAAUAAAUGAACAGUGACAGUGAAUGCAGGAGCCUCCUGCGUAAAGACCGGACCCAUUCUGGGUACCCAUAUCCUCCCUUUAUAAAAUGUCACAAAAUAAGACAAUGGUUUUCUAUGCUGGAUCCCAAAUCACGUAAGGACUCAAUAAAAAAUUAAAGAUUCUUGGAACUCAUCCCAGGAGAUCCUGAUUCACCAGGUCUGGGGUGGGGCCCCAAAAUAUGUCAUUGAUAAGGAGGUUUUCUAUAUGCAGUCAGGUUUGUGAACCAGUGAACCAUAGAGGCUGAAAUUAAAUUGAGGUGAAAUGGGAAAAGAUGUGGAGAGGUGAGAAAAGGGAAAACGAUGGGGGAGACUCUACAUGGGGAAACAGCCGUGCCUGACAUCCGACGCAGUCCUACAGUUGGCCAGCCUCUGGCAUCCUACCCAACUUUGGGCCCAUCAGCCCUUCAAGGAAAUGAAGCAUCUUCUAGUUUAUGAUACUUUUCUCCUUCCUUACCUCAUCGAAUCCUUACAACAACCAACUUUAUUUGAUGGAGGAAGAAAUUCAGAAUCAGAUGGCCAAGCAAAGUGUCAACCACUUAUACAGUUUUCAGUGGGAGUGCCAUUUAACCAAACUGCCCCCAACAACAGCCUCUGAUCUGGCCUGAGGCUCAUGUCAUUGGCCUAAUUGACGUUUGUCGACCAGUGGCCAAAGCACCCAGUCUCCUUACUUGUUCUGUCCUCAGCACUUGCAGAUUCUGCUAGCCCAGCCCAGCCCAGCCCAGCCCAGCCCAGCCUAUAUCAUCCAUCCAAACACCAAUCCAUCUGUGCCUCCACCCACACACCCAUCUAACCAAUUGCUUAUUCAUCCACUUAUCACAUUCAUCUACAUAUCUCUCCACCGUCCCAUCCAUCUACUUACCCAUUUAUCCAUCAUCCACCAUACCCACCCAUCCACUCACCCACCCAGACAUCCAUUCAUUCAUCCAUCCAUCUUCUGAUUCAUUCAUUCAUUCAUUCAUUCAAUAAGCCUCCCUCAAAGUCAAUAUAGGUCCAGGUCCUAGAGUAUCCUAGAAUAAAACAACAAAGAUCAUACAAAUACAGACCUUGCCCUCAAGGAGAUUUGAAAUGCUUACAAAAAUGACAAACUACCAAAGGACCAAGACAGAUAAUUAAGGGAAGCUAAGGGGAACUUGUGAAAAGAAAAAGCAUAGGAAAGGGUAAGAAAAGAAUGAAGCCAGAAGUCUGGGUAGCAUACAGAUAAGCACACAAUAGCAUCUUAUCCUCAUAAUUGCUAAGGGCAGCUCCAGAUUUGCCUCUGAGCUAGACCCUGGCACCCGAAGCAAAUAACCACAGCAGAAAAGUCACAGGGAUAUUCAGUUGUGGCAGACAUCAUGCAGAAGCUAUCCCUGCUUCCUUAUACCACAGUAGUGUUAUAUGUGUCCAGGGCACAUCGAGAAACAUCUGGAGACAUAUUUGGUUGGCACAGCUGAUGGGGGAAGAAUGCUCCUGGCAUCUGAUGAGUCAAAGUCUGGAAAGCUGCUAAAUAUCCUACAACGCACAGGACAGCCGCCACAAUAAAGAAUAAUCUGAGCCAAAAUGUCAAUAGUGCUGAAGCUGAGAGCCCCUCUUAUGAGAGAACCCCGAUUUUGUUUGGAACAGCAUCGUGCUAGACCUCAAGAAAACAGUAUCGUUGGUCGAAGCCAGUCUUGGCUUUCCCAUUUCUUUCCACUAGACCCUUGAAUUCCCAGCUUUCCUUGAACCAGGGAAGUCUGCUGGGAGGUUUCUGGGGAAAUUUUGCUUUUUGAUCAAAGAAACAAGUACUUCAAGGAAUAUCCCCUCCAGCUUCAGGUGCUUGAGGGCAGACGUGAUGCCCCGCACCAUGCCAGCCACGUUGGGUCUGCACGGUGAGCAUGGAGAGAGACAGGAAGGUAGAGCAUGGGUCUGGCUGACAUUGUUGACCGUUGUCAUACGGUUGUUUCUUAAAACCUCCCUCAGUUCAUGCAUCCAACAGAUGCUUACUGAGCAUUUAUUCUGUGCCAGUUGCUGUGUGAGACGUGCAAGGCUCGCAGAGUUUAUAGUCGAGUGGGGGAUACAGAGGCCACAACGCACACCAAUGCUGUCUGAUCAGAGUCAUGAUGAGAGCUACAAACCAGAAGCCAGUGUGCCAUGCGUGUGUUGCAAGUCCAGGGGAAGGUCAAGUUCACCCAGCAUCACCCCACCAAAGAUCAGCUCCCUAAAGACUGUCCUCCUGGGGUUCAAAGAUGUGAGACGGCAGCUGACAUUUACUGCAUGGUUGCCUUGUGUCAGGCACGACGCUGAGCACUUGUGUAUUAACUCACGUGUGUUAACUCACGUUAUCCUCUCCACAGCCUUGCCUGCCAUUGCACCUCCUGAGGCUCUGCUGUGGACCUCGUCCCUUCCCCUACAGCUUACCUCUGCAGUUGCAGCCUUUGGUGGGGGGGUAGUAUUAUCCUGAUUACAGAGCCUAGGAAAAGGGGUUCUCUCCAAAACACUCAUUUCUUUUUUCAGAAGGUGCAUUUUCCCUAGAGCUUCCUAGUUCAUUCAACAUGUGGGGCUCAGAGAGGGAUAGGCCACACAGCUUUAAAAAAUAAAGGAGGGGGCAGAUCCAGGAUGCUAACCCAGAUUUACUUUAUCUCGAAAGCAAGGUCUUUUAGCCACCAUCACACACACACACACACACACACACACACACACACACACACACAAAUGCCCAGCUGUCCCAGGACAGCAAUGUUCUUUUGUUGAUGCUUGCUACAAAUCUGGCCAUAGGAGCUCUCCUUUCUCUGCCCAGCCCAGAUCUGUAGCUUAGUCAAGAGAGUCACAAAUGGACUGAAGUCAGAUGAUUUUUUUUUUUUUUUUUAAAAACAAUCCUGAGCUCUAGUUUUCUCUUCUGUCCUUGGAGAUAACAAUAUUAUUAUCUGGAACAGCUGUCGUAGGAAUUCAAGUAAUAGGCAUAGAACGUCCAUCCAUCAAACCAUCUAUCCAUCCAACCAUCCAACAAAUGUGUGUGGAACACUUGCUUUGUGGUGAGCACUGUGUACAGGUCGGGAUGAAGGGGCAUGAGGCCACCCUACAAAGUACAUAGACCUGGAAUACAGUGAGAAGCUGUCAGGUUAUAUUAUUAUAGUACCCCCCUGGGAGAAAUGUGGGGGGCCUUCUGUUCAUCCCUAGCCUUGGCUUGUGGCCUGGGGCCUUCCUUCCACAGCAGCUGACUAUCUGGUCCCUAUGCAAGACACAGUCUUGUUCUGGCUACAGGGUCAACCAAGUCUUAUAAUUGUGUUUCAACCUUGGAUGGAGCACCUAAGACAUGCCUAGCCCUUCAACUGUGCUAUCUCCUCUCACUGCACCACCCUCUGUGAGAUAGGUCCAUUUUCCAGGUGAGGAAAUAGAUUCAGAGAGGGGAAGUAACUUGCCCAAGGUCAUACAGCCGGUAUGGGGAUGGAUCCCCAGGCUAUUUUGGGUUCCUUAGCCUCUGCUCCUUCCACUAUAGCACAAACUUCUGUUUGGUGGUGGGUCGAAGAAAGAUCCCAGUGGACCAGUCAGGAGACCAGUCCUUGAUUCCUUGAGGCCAUCUGUCCUCAGCUAAUGACAAUAUUAAACAAUAUUUGUUGAGUCCUUAUCAUGUGCCUGGUGCCUAGGGCUUACACCCUUGGUCUCCUUUAGUCCUCUGUGAGGGCCUGUAAGACAUCCUAUCUCCACUUCAAAGAGAAGGCAACUGAGGCACAGAAAUGUUGAAUAAUUUGUCUAAAGUCACAGAACUAGAGCCUGGAUUCCAGAGGCCAAACACUAUGUGUGUUUGUGUGAUUUAAAUCUCUUAACAAAACGCACCUAAUUUUUAAAAAUCCAAAAUGUGCAAGAAAAGGUUAAAAAAAAAUUAUUGAACCUCCCUCCUCAGAAACACAACUCUGUUACCAGUCUCUUCCUGUCUACUGGCUUUCUAUGGAAAUACAAACGUGUGUGUACAUAUACAUGCGAAUAUCCGUUCUGUUAUCAGAAAUGUAAAAUGCUACACACAGUG